AGUUAGCUGCUCUCACAAAAAGGUUUAAUGCAUCAACUUUGGGAGGUGCAAAUCCAAGUUGUUCAAGAGGAAGUCUGAUUUCUGAAGAAGAGAUAGCGGGAGCUGCCAACAAAUGAAAGAACAAUCUUCUUGGGAAGAUUAUAUCUAAAGAAGAUAUUGAGUUUGAAAAAGUCCGGAGAGAUGUUAACAUAAUAUGGAGAAGACAUAGGAAAGUCGAGAUUAAUACCAUUGGAAGAAACUUGUACGUGUUCAAGUUUAAAGCUGCAGAAGAUAUUGCUGAUGUUAUGAAAAAUGCUCUAUGGAUCAUCCAUGAACACUUGGUGGUUCUCAAACCUUAACUCAAUUCCACUUGAUAACUAUAUUUUCACUCAUCAGAUCUUUUCUGUAAUGUUAAAAGGUAUGUACCUUGAGCAUCUUGAUGAAGGAAUUAUUAAUAAACUUUGUGAUGACAUGGGAAGGAAGAUAGCUGAAGAGGGUUCCAAAGGUUACACCAUAAGAGGUAGAGUUAAGUAUCAGCUAAGAUUGAGGUUGAUCUCAGUCAACCAUUGAAAAGAGAAAACUGGUUACUUACUGCUGUUAAUCAGAAAAUAUGGGCUCACUACCAUUUUUUGAAACAACCUAGGAAAAUCUGUCCUGAUUGUUUUACAAUUGCACACACUGAUAAGUUAUGUGAAGAAAGAGACCGGCAUAUAUUCAUUUUUGGCAUGACAGCCAGCAUUCGAAGCUUACUAUGCUAAACACGCUCACAUGGUUCAAAAUAUGCUCAACAACACAGCUGAAAAUAAUGGGCUUAAUGAACCGGGUAAUGGUAAUUCUGGUGGUGCGGUCGGGUCAGGCGGGUAGGAUGUGGAAGAUUCAUAUCCAAGAAAAAAAUAAGUGAAGUAGAGACUCAAUCUUAGAAGAUAAUUAUGUUCUUCUAGACAUGAACUCCAAAAACCCUAACUCUAUUAGCGGCAAUUUCACCUCUGUAAUUGUUAACGGUAGAGGAGAUCAAACAGAGAUCGAGGAUACCAGUCUUGAUGGUGGUGACAUGAACAUGGUAGAUGUAGAUAAUGGAGCAAGAGAAUCAAACAACCUGGUGCUCCAUCCCCCUGCUACAGAUCAAUAACAAGUGCGACAAAUCAGAAAGUACCAGUGAUUUCGACCGUUCGGAAAAUAAAAGCCUAAAUUGCAACGUAAAUGGCGUUUGCGGGGAAAAUCAGAAAAAUAUGACUGACCUGGUAUCUUCAUAUAUCAGCAGCAUAUAAGUCAUCUCCAGGUCAGAGAUCUUUACUAAUUGAAAUGGAUAAUUAUGUUUGUUUAUUUGUUUAAGAACGUGACAAGUUAGGAUAUAAGUGGGAAACAUGGCCAAAGUACAUAAAGAGGAAGCCAAGUUAGGAUAUAAGUGGGAAACGUGGCCAAAGUACAUAAAGAGGAAGCCGUGGGAAGUGGUGCGAUACAAGCAGCUGAAUUGAUAAAAGAACCAUUGGAUAGUGGGAGUAAAUGAGCUUCCAACAUAUUCUUUUCCUUUCAAGAAGAAAAAUACAUUUCCUAACCAAACAACAACUUCGUUUCUAUCUAAUCAAGAGGAAGGUGUUUCGAGCAUUUUCUUUGCUGGGAUUUCAAAGAGCUGUCGUUCACAUCCGUUGGUGCAAGAUCGAGAUCGAGAUCGAGACAUCACAUAUUUGGGAGUUUUGGUCUUUUAAAACAGAAAGGAGGCGACAAUGCCGAAUAGGGGAGAACAGUGUUGCGACAAAGAUUGGAGCAUAACAAAGAUAAGAGAAGACGACGACUCCUUCGGUUUAAUCUCUCUAUCUUGACUUAUUUGUUUUAUGGGUUUUGAGAAAUUCAUGGUUAUGUCUUGAUAAACUUGUAAUCAGGGUUUUAUGGUUGAAACCAUUUUUGAGCAUUAGACCACUUUGAUUUGAAAUACAUAUGAUUUUGAGAUUA